rnacentral:lncRNA from 12 species
GAGACUGAGAUAAAUGGCAGAUUAGCAAUUUAUCAGAUGGUGUUUAAUCCCACAGCUUUCAGAGCAGACGGGUCUGGUGGAGGGAAGGAGGAGGUCAAGCCCAGACUCUGAAGAAAGCAAGAACUUCAUGGCUGUCAUUAAACUGAUUGAAGUAACCUGACUCACACCUAUGAAAAGCUUCUCAGGAGGUCCCUCAGUGUCUUUCACUUCCAGCAGCCUGUGAAAGAUCUGUACUCAAUUCUCCAAAGAGUUUAGAAGGGCCUGGGUUCUGCCUGAGUCACACCUGGAGCUGGUCUGUCCUUGGUAAGGAUCGUGGCCAUGCGAGGAAAGUUGACCUGCAGGAAGACACAGCCCCCAGU